UCCUCCAUCCUCAGCCCUGAGCCCCUCCAGCUCCCCCCACUCCUCUCAGCGCCCCCAAAAGCAGCACCUCCGACCCCUCCUCUUUUCCCAGAGAUUCAGGCCACCUUUAGGGGCUCCACGAUCCCAAAUCUCUUUUCCAGCCCUGGGAACCCCGGGAUGGGGAGCAGCGGGAAUUCCUCAGCCUGGUUUGCAGCGCUGCUCCCCCCGGAGCACAGAACAAAAGAGGGCAGCGGCUCCUGCGGGGCCCCGCGGGCUCGGGGCAGGCGCUGCCCUGCCAUGAGGGGAUUGUUUUGCUCCAAAAAAAUGGGAUUUUGAAGGAAAAUGAGCGGCGGGAGUUUCCCCAGCACGGCCGGGACAGCAGGAGCGGCGCUGCCCCAGGGUGUUAAAGGUGGUCCCUGGGUGGUCAGAGCGCUUUUUGGAAGCUUUUUGGGAUUGCUGCCAUCCCACGUGCGGGCACAGAGCCCUGGUGCCAGCCGGGAAUGUUUGCAGGGGGAUAAAGCUGCAGUGAGCAGGAAGGUGGCUCUGGGGGUGACAGCAUCCCUGAGCCCCCAAACUCGCGGGAUCGGCUCUGAGGGACCCCCAGAAGUGAUGCCAGCAGCUGUGGCCACCCCAACAUCCCUGAAAGUUUGUUUGGGUUUGUUGUUUGUGGGUUGGGAUCCUGGAGCUGAGCACAGGGAGGGCUGGGACAGCAGCAGCUUCGAGAGAUCAGGGCAUCCCAGAAAUUCCCUGUACACAUCCCAGAAAUUCCCUGUAUAUAUCCCAGAGAUUCCCUGUACACAUCCCAGAGAUUCCCUCACACAUCCCAGAGAUUCCCUGUACACAUCCCAGAGAUUCCCUCACACAUCCCAGAGAUUCCCUCUACACAUCCCAGAGAUUCCCUUCCCCUGCACCCCAAAGAUUCCUGUCACCAUUACCCCAAAAAUUCCCUUCCCCUUCAUCCCAAAGAUUUCCUCCACCUGUAUCCCAGAGAUUCCCCUCAUCUGAAUCCCAAACAUUUCUGCCACUUGUACCCCAAAAAUUCCCAUCACCUGUAUCCCAAAGAUUCCCUUCCCCUGUACCCCAAAAAUUCCCAUCAUCUGCAUCCCAAAAAUUCCCUUCCCUUGCAUUCCAAAGAUUCCCUCCCCCUGUACCCCAAAGAUUCCCUCCACCUCCAUCCCACAGGGAUUCUCUCUCCCACCAGGAAAAUCCCAAUCCCUGGGUCCCAAAUCCCAGCAAUGCUCAGCACGGAUGGGCUCCCCACCCUUUUUUGGGGGUUUGGACCCCCCAAAAUCUCACCCCAGAGCCACCUUCACCCCAUGGCUACUCUGCCCUGGAGAGCCCCAAUUCCAGCUGAGCACAAGGGAUCCCAGAAAAUCCCAAAAUUAAAAAUAACUCCACUGAAAAAUUGCUUUUAACGUGCUCCCCUUCCCAGGAAUGCCAGCAAGACCCAAAAUUAAAAAUAAUCCCACUGACAAAGGAGUUUUAACUUGCUCCCCUUUUUCUGGACACCCCAGAAACCCCCAAAAUUAAAAAUAACCCCACUGAAAAAUUGGUUUUAAAAUGCUCCCCUUACCAGGGACGCCAGCAAACCCCAAAAUUAAAAAUAACCCCAAAGCCAGGGCAGCUUUACCGUGCUCCCUUCCCAGGGACACAAACCCUUCCCCUGCAGCCCAUAAAUGAAAUUUAAACCCCUGGAGCACAUAACAACUUUACGAGCUGCUCCACGUCCCCCACCCCAGCCUGGCAGGGCACAGAUCCCCCCCUGGCCUGGAGGAAUAAUAAUAAUAAUAAUGGACAUUUCGGCAGGGAGACAAAAAGUCCAGAAAUUCUCCCCUCAGGACAUCUCCAAGCCUGGGAUAAACUUCGCUGUGAGACAGAUUUAGGGAGAGGGGAGGGUGGAGGUAAAAAAAGCAACGGGGGAGCUGAGAUUUUCCAAGAGAGAAAAAAGAGAUUAAAAAAAAAUUGAGAUUUUGAAAAAAAAUGGGAUUUAAAAAAAUUUGGAUUAAAAAAAUUUGGAUUAAAAAAAAUGGAAUAAAAAAUGGAAUUUAAAAAAUGGAAUUUAAAAA
ensembl:lncRNA